ACGAACGCUGGCGGCGUGCUUCACACAUGCCAGUCGAACGCUGAAGCUCAGCUUUUGUUGGGUGGAUGAGUGGCGAACGGGUGAGUAACACGUGAGUAACCUGCCCCCUUCUUUGGGAUAACGCCCGGAAACGGGUGCUAAUACUGGAUAUUCACUGGUCUUCGCAUGGGGGUUGGUGGAAAGGGUUUUUCUGGUGGGGGAUGGGCUCGCGGCCUAUCAGCUUGUUGGUGGGGUGAUGGCCUACCAAGGCUUUGACGGGUAGCCGGCCUGAGAGGGUGACCGGUCACAUUGGGACUGAGGUACGGCCCAGACUCCUACGGGAGGCAGCAGUGGGGAAUAUUGCACAAUGGGCGCAAGACUGAUGCAGCGACGCCGCGUGAGGGAUGGGGGCCUUCGGGUUGUGAACCUCUUUCGCUCAUGGUCAAGCCGCAACAAUGGUUGUGGUGAGGGUAGUGGGUAAAGAAGCGCCGGCUAACUACGUG
rnacentral:rRNA from 1 species